CCCGGACACCGGGUUCAGCGCCCGAGCGUGCGCGCGCGUCUCCGCUCGUCGCCCGGCUCGGCGUCGGGAGUGCACUCUGUGUGGCCGCUGCUGCAGUGUCGUGGUUGUGAGAAGGCGGCGGCGGCGGCGGAGUAGCAGCCGGACCAGACGCCCUAGUAGCUCAGUCGCUGCCCUGCGCCGGGCCUGGCAGGGAGCCUGGUGAGAUGGUGGAGGAGGAGGCUGUGCCGUGGCGGGCCUUGCCAUGUCCUGCUGCCUGGGACACAGAAUCACUUAUCUAUUUCUCAAGACCAAAGAAGACAUCGGACCCUUGUCAAACUCCAACACCUAUUGGGGGAACCUAAGGAGGCACAAGCGCCAUGUUAACCUUUGGGCCAAGAGGCAGUAGAGUGCAAGAGAUGGGCUCAGUUCUUGUCCACCUUACUAACCAAGCAAAUUUUAUCUUUUCAAAAUUCAAUGUCUUCCUCUGUAAAAAUCAAGUUAGUCUCACAGCGUUAACCUCACAGGAUUGUGGAGAGGGCAAGAUGAUGAUGUAUGCAAAGCUCUUAUUCUAGUGCUGAUAGAGAAUAAAGAUUAAAAUGUU